UACAGAGGGGGCAAGCGUUGUUCGGAAUUACUAGGCGUAAAGGGCGCGUAGGCGGCCUUCUAAGUCGAACGUGAAAUCCCCGGGCUCAACCCGGGAACUGCGUCCGAUACUGGAAGGCUUGAAUCCGGGAGAGGGAUGCGGAAUUCCAGGUGUAGCGGUGAAAUGCGUAGAUAUCUGGAGGAACACCGGUGGCGAAGGCGGCAUCCUGGACCGGUAUUGACGCUGAGGCGCGAAAGCCAGGGGAGCAAAGCAGG
rnacentral:rRNA from 1 species